UGGGGAAUAUUGCACAAUGGAGGGAACUCUGAUGCAGCGACGCCGCGUGAACGAAGAAGGCUUUCGAGUCGUAAAGUUCUUUUAUAUGGGAAGAUAAUGACGGUACCAUAAGAAGAAGCCCCGGCUAACUACGUGCCAGCAGCCGCGGUAAUACGUAGGGGGCUAGCGUUGUCCGGAAUCAUUGGGCGUAAAGGGUUCGAAUGCGGAAAUGCAAGUCAGGUGUAAAAGGCAGUAGCUUAACUACUGUAAGCAUUUGAAACUGCAUAUCUUGAGAAGAGUAGAGGUAAGUGGAAUUUUUGGUGUAGCGGUGAAAUGCGUAGAUAUUAAAAAGAAUACCGGUGGCGAGAGCGACUUACUGGGCUCAUUCUGACGCUGAGGAACGAAAGCGUGGGUAGCAAACAGG
rnacentral:rRNA from 1 species